rfam:Sporomusa sphaeroides DSM 2875 SPSPH_contig000001, whole genome shotgun sequence.
AUAUUUAUAAUGCCGAAUCCUUAUAUGGUACGGGGGAACCAAUAGAAAUACAGGGGUGAAUCCGCAAUCGCGGUAGGGCGUUCUCACAUUCUCUUUUGCCCAAACCCGACAGCUAACCUCGGAGGCGCAUUGUAAGAGAGGUG